UCAAACUACCUUUACCUCUCAGAUUAAUACC
rnacentral:piRNA from 1 species